ensembl:lncRNA
GGAAUGUACACCACUUACCCACCCAACGGUUGAUGACUAAAGCCUCCAUCAAGACCAACCAACAAUUUUUAGUGGAAUUACAACACAGACUUCUUCAUAAAAAAGAUAGAAAUUAGAAACUCUAAAGCUCAAUUCAGAAAUCAUCCUGUCAAGGAUCUACAGGUUGAAAAAAUAAGAAUAAACAGCUAAGAGUUUUUUGUUAUUAAAAAAAGUGCAUAGCCCUUUUCCACAACAAAAAACAUUGACUUAGAAGAUUUUAUACCAACCAAUAAAAUACAAGGCCCUGAGAAGAUGGACAAAAAAACCUAAAAGCUUUACUGAAAUUAUAGGGUCAAAGUAAAGCAGUAGGAAAAUAAGUUGGGGAAUCAUCAUUGAUGCUAACUGGAAGAGUUCGCUUUGUUCUGUGGAAUUCUCCUGCUUUGUCUUUUGUCAAGACUUCAACCUUGCUUCCUUCUAGAAGAGGAACCUAAGAAGGUUUCCACAUUUUAUAUCCUGAGGGUGAAGUUGUACCAUGUCUGGCACCCCUGCUACACAGAUCAAGAAGGACAUGGAGCCAGCAGGUGCCUUAAAGAACAAGAACAUUUUUUUAAAAGAUUUUAUUUUUUCCUUUUUCUCCCCAAAGCCCCCCAGUACAUAGUUGCAUAUUCUUUGUUGUGGGUCCUUCUAGUUGUGACAUGUGGGACGCUGCCUCAGCGUGGCUCGAUGAGCAGUGCCAUGUCCGCGCCCAGGACCCGAACCAACGAAACACUGGGCUGCCUGCAGCGGAGUGCACAGACUUAACCACUCGGCCACGGGGCCAGCCCCAAGAACAAGAACAUUUUCAGAAUUCUUUGCGGUAAAUGUUCUGAUGAAAGAAGAAGAGAGGUCAUGUGACAGGAAGUAUGAACACUAUAAACUGAGAUUCUUCUGUCCUUUCAUAAUUACAAUAAUUCACUAAAAAAGCCCUCAAUAUUUUCUAAUACAAAGUAGAAGAUCUAAUUCAAAGGAGGUAGAGGUUGAGCUGACAGAGUCACUAGAAGCAGUAUGUGCCAUUUGCUAAUGUCUCAUUAUAGAAAAUAGUCUCCCACAUUUUUCUCAUAAUUUGAUUUUAAACCACUGAAACAUAGAGACUAUAUUUUUUAAUUCAAUUUUGACUGAUUUCUCCCUUAGACCUCUGUAAAGGGUAAACUAUAUGCUCACUAAUCUUUGCAUUGGGUCCAUAUUAUGUGGCAAGGUAGCCAAGGAUAAGACCCAUUCAGACAAUAAUUUACAAAAAAUGCUCAGUAACACAAGGGUAACUGGAAAUGUCUAGUUUCUGUAUCUUUCACUAAUAAUGAGAAGCCCUUUUUAACUUGUAGUAUUAUAAACAUGGCAAAAUAAUCCAUUUCUUAUCAUUAGACUCAGUAUGGCAUUAUCUACAUGACUGUAGUUUACCAAGCAGCCGUUACCUCAAUAGGUAUUUUUGAGGUCUUUUAAUUAUUGAAUGUCUAAAACCCUCUAUCUUCAAUUUCCUGUAGUUUGAAUAUGAUACUCCUAGGUGUAGGUGGUCUUUUUGGCAUUUAUCCUGUUUGGAGCUCUCUGAGCUUCUUGUAACUGUGGUUUGGUAUCUGACAUUAAUUUGGGGAAAUUCGCAGUCAUUAUUGUUUCAAAUAUUUCUUCUGUUCCUUCCUGGCUUCUCCUUCUAGUAUUCCCUCUACACGUACGUUACACCUUUUGUAGCUGUCCCAGAGUUCUUGGAUAUUCUCUUCUAGUUCUGUUUUAGUCUUUUUUCUCGCUGCCUUUCAGUUUUAGAGGUUUCUAAUGAGAUCUCUUCAAGCGCCGAGAUUCUUUCCUCAGCUGGACCCAGUCUACUAAUAAUUAGCCCAUCAAAGGCAUUCUUCUUGUCUGUUACAGUGUCUUUGAUCUCUAACACUUCUUUUUGAUUCUUUCUUAGGGUUCAUCUCUCUGCUGAUAUUGCCCAUUUGCAUUCUAUCUGCUUUAUCCAUUAGAGCCCUUAGCAUAUUUAUCAUAGUUGUUUUAAAUUCCUGGUCUGAUAAUUCCAACCUCUCUGCCAUAUUACAGUCUGGUUCUGGUACUUGCUUUGUCUCGUCAAACUGUGCUUUCUGCUUUUUAGUAUGCCUUGUAAUUUUUUCUUUAUAGCUGGACAUGAGGUACUGGAUAAAAGGAACUGCCAUGAAUAGGCCUUUAGUGAAAUGGUGGUGAGGUGUGGGACAGGAGAAACACUCUAUAGUCCUGUGAUUAGGUCUCAGUCUUGUAGUGAGCCUACACCUCUGGACUGUGAACUUCACAAGUGCUUCUUAGUCCCCCCUCCACCUUAGGUGGGAAAGGAUGACUAGGUGGACUGGAGUUGGGUGUUUCCAUUCCCCAGCUCAGUCAGGCCCUGAUAAAACCCCAGCAAGUUGGGCUUCGGUUAGUUUCUUGAAGGCAGCCCUUGUUAAGAACAGAAUGCUCUGACAUAUUUCAAAAUGGUUCCUUUUCCCAUGCCCCUGCCAGCAGCAUUAAGGGAUUUUUCUCUGCUAUUCUCUAUAAGGAUCUAGGAGGUAAAACUCACAAAAAUGUGGGGGCCCCUUCUGUGUCUGGGCCCCUGGAGUUUUUAACUCUCAGACUUGUCCACACUGAAUCUCCAGCAAUUCCUCAGUUACAGUUCAGGUUUUCCCAUCCGGGCACUGGUUCCCAGUGAUGUUUCUAUUUGUGGGUUUCUGCUCCAAUAAGUUCUGAUUUUCUAUAUUCACUUGUAGUCUCUCUAAUUUUGAAGGCAGUGGUUUGUCCUGUGACCUCAUUUCUGUUACAGGUCUAAGAAGAAUGUUUGAUUUUUCAGUUUGUUCGGCUUUUAAUUUGUUAUUAGGACAAAGUGUGUGGACAAAGCGUGGCAACUUCCAAGCUUCUUACACGCCAGAGCAACCCAGUACUCUUUACUAAGCAAUUGACAUAUGUUGUCUCAUAAAACCCCCACAACACUCUGUUACAAAGUGUCCUUAGCCCCAUAUCAAAGCUGAGGAAACCAAAGUUUACAACAACUAAUUGUCUUAACCAGGAUAUCCCAGGUAGUAACUCUCAUCAACCUGAGAAUGUCUAGUCCCAAAGCUGCUAUGCUAUGUCUUUGCACCCACUCUCACUUUCUCUUCCACUGUUCUAUUUUGCAUUAUCUUCUGAUUUAUUUCCUAAAGUAGUUAACAACUCAAGCUUUGAAGUCAGAAAACCUUAAGAUAAUAUAAAGUUACAUACAGCUUUAAGAAUCAUUGAAGUUACUUAAACCCCAAUUUUCUUAUCUAUAAAAUGAGAAAAAUAAUCAUCAUGCAGAGGCAUUUUAGAGGAAAAUAUGCAGAGAUAGUGAGAGCAAUAUAUCCAAUAAAUGGAUUCAUAUAUCUAUAUCCAUAAUUAUAUCUAUAUCCGUAUGUGUGUCUUAAGUGCUUAGUACAUAUAUGUUAGCCACUAUCUGGUAAACACCACCUAUUUACCCCUAAUCCAUAUUAUUUCAAACCAGACCACUCACCUCUACCCUUCAUGCUCUCCUCCAGUGCAAAGUGGUUCUGUUAUUAUCUGCUAGAAGUCCCUGUCUUACUGAGUUCCACAGCUUUAGGUGAAAACAGUAUCUUCUAGACUGUGAGUUGACUGGAAGACCAUUCUUUAUUUAACAAAAAUACGGUUGCUGACUGUCUCUAAAAACCAAAACAGUACCUCACUGCCCAACCCACAGCUGCAGAAGAUAUUAUUGUUAAUAAUAAUACUAUGCUUAGAUAACAGCUGCUAUUUAUAAAGCACUUACUAUUGACAAGCCGAAUGUUCCACACUGAACAAGGAUAAUCUCGCUCAAUUUAUCCAGGCUGGUUAUUGACUCCCGGAGAUUUUGCUAUGUAACUGUUUCAUGCCUACUUAUGCUUAAGUUGUAGGAGAAAAUUAGAGAGAAGGGGCAGGGAAUAAAGAACAUUUAACUCUCAUUAAGGAAUCUUGGAUCUGGAGUUUUAAGCAAGGGACUUCUCCUUCUACCCUUUGGUGGACUAGAUUCUCCAAAGCGGCCUCCUUUUCCAAACCACCAGAUCCUACCACAUUAGAAUAAGCACAUUGUGGAUUUUGGUUCCGGAAAAGCACCCGAUUGUGGAACAUGAACUGUGCUCUGACUGCCACCCAGGAGAAAUGUUCACAACUGGCCUUGAUGACGGCAUCCUGCAACGGGUACUGGCCAUGUUUGUUUUCUUUUGGGCUCACUGAUAUUCCAAAAAAGGACUUGGAUUUUAUUUUCCUUACCACCUUGCCACCAUGUCUUUGAUUACUCAUGACGUGUCUGAAGUGACAAACUUGAUUAUGUGUCAUCAGGAUAUGUGUCACGUCUUUUGUUAGAGGCUGGAUUUAAUACAUUUGCCAAAUCAUAGUCUUCUUUUCCACAAGACUGAGUGAUUUUGAAUUUAUCAUUCCUAAGAUGUCUUUGUUAUUUCAAACUGAAAUGCUUUGUUCUUCCUUGAUUACAAAAAAUAACCUGUAAAGCCUUAAACAGGAAGAUCAUUAAAGUCAUAUUCUUGAGUGAAGAGAUAGCCCCUGGUUUAAAGAGAAAUACAUUUCCUGAAAGGGCAAUACAUCAACCAAUUAGCGCUUCCUAACUAGUUUGAGUUUGGUAAUCAGAUUAAACAGAGCCGUUGAUGAGGGAAGGAGGGAGAACGAAGAGAAAGUUGCAAAGUAUGGCACACUGGCCAGGAAGAUAAAAAUGAGGAGCUAAAAAGUUGGACCUUUGGAUACAGUGGAUUGGCAAUGUGAAAGUUAAGAGAUGCACUAAUACAACAUCCACAAGAAUAAUUCUCAAUAUUUCACAAUUUUGCCUAAGGCUAACCCUGAAAGACCAAAACAUAUCUCAGAAAGGUUGUCAAUAAUGCAGGAGAAUUUCUACUUUAUUUUACUAACUGAAGCAAGUAAAGGAGGUGUGCUGAGCUACGUUUGAGGGAUGUUUUCUUCCUCUAGUGUUUGUGAAAGUAUCAAGUAAAUGCUAAAUUUUUUUCCAACUUCUUUCUGAAUAUGUUUCCACUUCCUGUUUAGGAGUCCUAGAGACCUCAAGCUUUAAUUCAUAGUUGUGAUGUCGAUGCAAUUCAAAGGACAGGCAGAUGAGCUAUCUUGCUCCUGUUAAGGUAGUACCUUUAGAAAACAA